CAAAUUUUGAAUCUUAUAAUUGUUUAUCGGUUUCCUUCGGACCUUUAUGAAUUUCAAUGUCUUACUGUAUGCCGAGUUUUACUCUAAUAAUAUUGAAGUUCGAAACUAAUUUCACACAAAACGGGCAACUAUUUAAGCUAGACAAUUACCCGAGCAAUUUAUGGCGGGUGUAAGUAAAAAUAAAAUUAUAGAGAUAGUUUCUUUGCUUUACCAUCUACCAUCGAUGCACUAUUUUUUGCAUUAUUAUUCAACUGAACGACGUAAUCAGUAAAAGCAAUAGAAAAAAGUAACGAUAAAGAUAAAAUUGCAUCUUUGAAAUGCGAUGGUGAGACGGUUAGUCUUUUUAACCCGCAUUUCUUUAUCAUCAGUAUACUUAUAGAUAAAUGAUAAUUGGAAGGAGCCCGGAAAGAAUCGAAGUAGCGAAGAAGCAUGAUUAAGGUGAUGAACUUGGACAAUUUUAACAUUCUCACCAGACCAGUAAAUCAACAAUCAAUGCAAAUGGAUUUAAAAUAAAGACAAAUAAAAACAACAGCCGAUCACGAAUCAGAACAACGUAGCACCGAUUGACGGGAGCCUACCUGCAGAGGGCACUUGCAGCUCGGACAUGGUGGUGGUUCUACCCAUUCAUAAGGUGAAAGACGCGCCACAAUCCAAAUUGACAUGGAAACUACAACAUAUGCACCCAGCAUCGAUAGCCAGACCUCCACAGCUAGAGGGUUCAUAAAUGAGAAGAGUCGAGAAGGCGCGCGUUUGGUGGCCUGAAUCAUGUACACGAAUAAUGUAAAGCAACUUGAGGAGAGCGCUUUUCCAUCGGUAUAGUCUAUAAACACGACCCUAAAAAAAGUAUGAUAAAUAAAACAGGAUAUUAAAUUUUAAUGGAAGGAUCAAAGAGAGUCGGAGUUAUGGGCGAUGGCUCGAGGACAUGAUAUACCUUG